rnacentral:rRNA from 1 species
CCUACGGGAGGCAGCAGUGGGGAAUAUUGGGCAAUGGAGGAAACUCUGACCCAGCGACGCCGCGUGCGGGAUGAAGGCCUUCGGGUUGUAAACCGCUUUCAGUAGGGAAGAAGCGAAAGUGACGGUACCUACAAAAGAAGCACCGACUAACUAUGUGCCAGCAGCCGCGGUAAUACAUAGGGUGCAAGCGUUGUCCGGAAUUAUUGGGCGUAAAGAGCUCGUAGGUCGUUUGUUACGUCGGAUGUGAAAACCUGGGGCUCAACCUCAGGCCUGCAUUCGAUACGGGCAAACUAGAGUUUGGUAGGGGAGACUGGAAUUCCUGGUGUAGCGGUGGAAUGCGCAGAUAUCAGGAGGAACACCAAUGGCGAAGGCAGGGUCUCUGGGCCAAUACUGACACUGAGGAGCGAAAGUCUGGGGAGCGAACAGGAUUAGAUACCCUGGUAGUCCAGACCGUAAACGGUGGGCACUAGUUGUGGGAACCUUCCACGGUUUCUGCGACGCAGCUAACGCAUUAAGUGCCCCGCCUGGGGAGUACGAUCGCAAGAUUAAAACUCAAAGGAAUUGACGG